AAUGGUCGACUAUGUUUCACAGUAUUGUUUCAAGUGCAACAACAACUGAAAUCCUAUCAACUGGAGUGCCGGGAAACUAUGAUGGAGCCUUGCUAGCGAUCUCGGCAAAGUUUCAAGUGUUGUCACAUCUUGUUCCUACCCGUGACAACUAUUUCUUAAGGUAUUGUAAGCUUCACCUUGAUGGGGCAUGGGCGGUGGUUGAUAUUUCCUUGGACUAUAUGCGACCUGGUGCUGCCUAAAAAUGCAGAAGGCAACCCUCUGGUUGUAUGAUUCAAGAAUUGACAAAUGGUUUCUCAAAGGUUACAUGGAUUGAGCAUGUAGAAGUUGAAGACAAUGUGAUGCAUGAUCUCUUCAAAAAUCUAGUAAAUUCUGGUUUUUCCUUUAGAGCUAGACGGUGGAUAGGAACUUUAGAAAGACAGUGCAAACGUAUUGCUUGCACAAUAGCAUCAAACAUAC